AACGAACGUUGGCGGCGUGCCUAACACAUGCAAGUCGAGCGGGCGCAGCAAUGCGUUUAGCGGCGUACGGGUGAGUAACACGUGAGUAACCUGCCCCCGGGAUGGGGAUAACGGUCCGAAAGGACUGCUAAUACCCGAUGACCUCUUCCGAGCGAUGGCUUGGGAGGGCAAAGUUGAGGCGCCCGGGGAUGGGCUCGCGUCCCAUUAGGUAGUUGGUGAGGUAAUGGCUCACCAAGCCUGAGAUGGGUAGCUGGUCUGAGAGGAUGGCCAGCCACACUGGAACUGAGACACGGUCCAGACUCCUACGGGAGGCAGCAGUGGGGAAUAUUGCGCAAUGGGCGAAAGCCUGACGCAGCAACGCCGUGUGGGUGAUGACGGUCUUCGGAUUGUAAAGCCCUGUUGAGGGGGACGAGCAAGGACGGUACCCCUCGAGGAAGCACCGGCUAACUCCGUG
rnacentral:rRNA from 1 species